rnacentral:tRNA from 1 species
CACCUGGUGGUACGGUAGUUAGGACUCAGCACUUUCACUGCUGAGGGCCUGGGUUCAAUCCCUAGUCAGGGAA